AAGCUGAGUUCUCUCAUCCCAACAUCCUGGAUGCUGAGAGAAGGUAAGGGAGCCGGAGGAUGCAGAACACACAUAGUGUUAGCCCGGUUCACACGGACACCCUGAAAGGAGAGGGAGAAUGGGAGAGAGAAGAGGCAUCUGCUAGGAGCUGCCCUGCUUCCUGUCCACGGCACAGGGCCUUCUGUGUUGUUUCCUUGGAGUCUCUGAAUCCUGUGACUAAGCCAGCCAUCAAACAAGCUGAAGAACUCAUCUCCAGCAAGGAAAGUUCUGCAGCAGGAGACCUUUACGCAAUGCGGGAUGUUGGCGAGCCGGGCCUUUGCUGCCCCCUAGUGGCGGAGAUAAUUCCUGGCACGGACGGCUCUCGGAACGUCCUUGUGGCCUGUGGCUGCUUCUGUGAAUGUGUAAGAAGAUGCUGAGUUGGGCUCCUCAUAUUUGGUGUGUUAAUUGUAGGUUGUCAAGAUGUCAGAACUACAACACCCAGCCAAGAAGAAUGAAGACUCCUGGGAAACUGAAGACAUAGGCGCAAUAUGUGGAAGGACAAUCCUAAAUUCCCAUGGUACCAGGCUAACACAAUCGUCUGCUGCCCGGAAGCUCAUUAGGAGACAGUAACCCGAGGGGAGUGCACGGUUCCCUAUCAGAGUGUUCUUGGUCCAGGAAAUGCUUUCCCAGCUGGAUCCAUAGACCCCAGGUGUCACAAGUUGCUGUGUAUAUCGCAUGCUGAUAAGACAUCUGGGACACAAGAAUGAUUUCUUUCUACAGGAGAGAAACUGAAUAGCUGAGGAAAUGGGCCAUACUUGUCAACGGCAUUUCAAGAAAAUUGUCUCAUUGUGUUCUUGCUACUGUAAAUGCUCAAGGGAUUGUUCAACAUGGAUAUUGGCCCAAA